rnacentral:rRNA from 1 species
CGGACGGGUGAGUAAUGCUUGGGAAUCUGGCUUAUGGAGGGGGAUAACUGUGGGAAACUGCAGCUAAUACCGCGUAUUCUCUGAGGAGGAAAGGGUGGGACCUUAGGGCCGCCUGCCAUAAGAUGAGCCCAAGUGGAUUAGGUAGUUGGUGGGGUAAAGGCCUACCAAGCCUGCGAUCUCUAGCUGGUCUGAGAGGAUGACCAGCCACACUGGAACUGAGACACGGUCCAGACUCCUACGGGAGGCAGCAGUGGGGAAUAUUGCGCAAUGGGGGGAACCCUGACGCAGCCAUGCCGCGUGAAUGAAGAAGGCCUUCGGGUUGUAAAGUUCUUUCGGUAAUGAGGAAGGGAUGUUGUUAAAUAGAUAGCAUCAUUGACGUUAAUUACAGAAGAAGCACCGGCUAACUCCGUGCCAGCAGCCGCGGUAAUACGGAGGGUGCGAGCGUUAAUCGGAAUAACUGGGCGUAAAGGGCACGCAGGCGGACUUUUAAGUGAGAUGCGAAAUCCCCGAGCUUAACUUGGGAACUGCAUUUCAGACUGGGAGUCUAGAGUACUUUAGGGAGGGGUAGAAUUCCACGUGUAGCGGUGAAAUGCGUAGAGAUGUGGAGGAAUACCGAAGGCGAAGGCAGCCCCUUGGGAAUGUACUGACGCUCAUGUGCGAAAGCGUGGGGAGCAAACAGGAUUAAAUACCCUGGUAGUCCACGCUGUAAACGCUGUCGAUUUGGGGAUUGGGCUAUAUGCUUGGUG